GUCGAGGGGCAGCAUGGUCUUAGCUUGCUAAGACUGAUGGCGACCGGCGCACGGUUGAGUAACACGUAUCCAACCUGCCGUCUACUCUUGGACAGCCUUCUGAAAGGAAGAUUAAUACAAGAUGGCAUCAUGAGUCCGCAUGUUCACAUGAUUAAAGGUAUUCCGGUAGACGAUGGGGAUGCGUUCCAUUAGAUAGUAGGCGGGGUAACGGCCCACCUAGUCUUCGAUGGAUAGGGGUUCUGAGAGGAAGGUCCCCCACAUUGGAACUGAGACACGGUCCAAACUCCUACGGGAGGCAGCAGUGAGGAAUAUUGGUCAAUGGGCGAGAGCCUGAACCAGCCAAGUAGCGUGAAGGAUGACUGCCCUAUGGGUUGUAAACUUCUUUUAUAAAGGAAUAAAGUCGGGUAUGCAUACCCGUUUGCAUGUACUUUAUGAAUAAGGAUCGGCUAACUCCGUGCCAGCAGCCGCGGUAAUACGGAGGAUCCGAGCGUUAUCCGGAUUUAUUGGGUUUAAAGGGAGCGUAGAUGGAUGUUUAAGUCAGUUGUGAAAGUUUGCGGCUCAACCGUAAAAUUGCAGUUGAUACUGGAUAUCUUGAGUGCAGUUGAGGCAGGCGGAAUUCGUGGUGUAGCGGUGAAAUGCUUAGAUAUCACGAAGAACUCCGAUUGCGAAGGCAGCCUGCUAAGCUGCAACUGACAUUGAGGCUCGAAAGUGUGGGUAUCAAACAGGAUUAGAUACCCUGGUAGUCCACACGGUAAACGAUGAAUACUCGCUGUUUG
rnacentral:rRNA from 1 species